CAGAGUUGUGCCUCGGCAUGGGCCUUGCCGCUGAGGCAGCUCCACUGUCUGCGCUGGCCUGAGGGUGCUGUCUGUCAUGGGGGCAGCCAUCUCCCAAGGGGCUCUCAUCGCCAUCGUCUGCAAUGGCCUCGUAGGCUUCUUGCUGCUACUGCUCUGGGUCAUUCUCUGCUGGGCCUGCCAUUCUCGAUCUGCUGACGUCGAUUCUCUCUCGGAAUCCAGUCCCAACUCCAGCCCUGGCCCCUGUCCUGAGAAGGCGCCACCACCCCAGAAGCCCAGCCAUGAAGGCAGCUACCUGCUGCAGCCCUGAAGGGCUCUGGCCUAGCCUGGAGUCCUGGACCUGAGUAUACCUGAGUCAGAGCGUGGAAUCGGAUCCAAGAAGUCAGUCGGCCUGGGGUCCAGUCGAUUUGACACUGGACCCAGCAGCCUAGAUUGUAGCCAGCCUGGCUCCAAGAGAGGCCUGAGUGGCCCUAGAGAGAAAGGCCUGGAGGGGGGGGGGCCAUCUGGACUCUGCUCCAUCCCAAGGGCCAAGGGCUGAGUCCAUGCCUUCCCUAGGCUCAGCACAUCUGGGCUCCCUAGGUUGGGGAGCAAACGGGAACCCCAUGGCAAUAAUGGGAGGGUGUC
rnacentral:lncRNA from 1 species